AGUUUAGUUUUCCCAGUAUAGUUUAGUUCUCCGUUCACCAUUUUGUCCAUCUCUUUUGUUGUGUUUGCCUUAGUGGCACCAGCCAUUUUUAGCCGACCUGGUUGUCCAUUUUAAGAUAAAGCCUCUUCUCAUCCCACAACCUGGUAUUCAUCAUCUUUUAUGUUGCGGCUAUGAGCCGGGUCGUAACAGAUGACAUCAGCUCCACACUCCACAAAAGCCCAGAGAUAUUAAUUUAAUAGAUAAUAGAUAUUAAUAUCCAAAAUGUCUAGAAAUGUAAUGUUGUCCUUUGAGAUUUUUGCAUAAGACUUAGGAUGAUAUAAAACUGAAGAUUUAAACUGUUUUAGAACCAUUACACUAUGGAAUAUGGAAUAUGGUAAUAUGGUAUGGUAUGGAAAUGUUAAUUAAAAUGUUAGAUUUAAAACAGCAGAAGUUUUUUUUAAAAGUGGAAUUUAUUCUCUUCAUUUAAAAACAGGACCCAGAGUUCCCAAUCUCUCAUGUCCACGGGUAUUUUUGAAAACGGAAACUUUCCAAUCUUUAUUUUUUUUUUAAAAAUCCCGUCCAUAUGUGCAGUUUUGAAAAACAUAUCUCCGUCCACAUGUAAAUGCUAAAAUCCAAAUGCUGGCCAAUCACAAGUCUAGAAGCCUGGGGGGGCGAAUAAACAGGGUUUUGUAUCCUCACAAAACCUUAAAUACUUCUGAAAAGUUUUGGUCUUUCUGGAAAGGCAGCUAAUUUUGUGUUAUUUUUCGAGUGUCUUCAUCAUUUCAAAUGUUAAUAACUAAAGACAGUAUUUUGCUUGUUGUGUAGACUUAGGAAUGAACAAAAUGCAUACAGCAAACAUAAAUUUAAUUUAAAUAAAAUUAAAUGUAUUCAAAAGCGACAUAGGGAUUGGGGUUGUUACAGCGUCUGUGUUGAAUGUAGAAGCUACGUCCGAAGUUCACUCUGAAGCCUCUGUCUUUCUAAAUGGAGGGACAAUAACUGCGUGUGUAUAUGUAAGCCUGUGAAUACUGCAGAUAGUAAGAUUAACAGCAACAGUAUUUUGUCUAUAUCCGCCAUUGUAGUGUAUCUCAUGUAAACAAUAACGUGGCGCACAGCGUGAGGUCAAAAACAGCGCACGCCUUUGAUGUUGCAUGAGUAAAUCUGUAUUUCUUGUCCACACGUAAAACGCAAAAACUGAGUUUUCAAAAAUCUCCACCCUGGCAGGGGUUUUUAAAAAUCUCCACUUUCAGUGGCCCAAAACGCCGUUUACAUGUGGAUGAAAGGCCCAAACGCAGAGAGAAAUCUGUGUUUUAAAAAAUACCCGUGUACUUGUGGACGUAGCCUCAGAGUUAUCAACAGCUGUUAGCUGUCCAGAAGUUUGGAAAAACUUUGUUCCUUUAUUUCAUCACAGCUCUCCUGUGCUGUGAUGUUCUGUUGGCAUACUGAGAGAAACAUCAGGAAGAUUAAAGCUUAUUGUAGUGAUCAAGCAGGAGUCAAGAUCUUCACCAGCAACUCUGUCAGAGGGAAAUCGUCACUUCAGACCGCUAGGCCCUCCCCAGAAGAUGGAUAAACCCAGCAUUUCAUGAACAAGUGAUAGUGACCUUUGCUUUCUGUAAUGUUAGAAGUACUCACAUCAUCCUCAUAUAAUGCACAGAGGAUCACUUGAUGUAAUAUAAUAUUGAGGACUGUAGAAUGUCAUACAUUUAAACUAUAGAUUAUCCUCUCUGGGUACUCUGGUAUGAAUGACUCUGAAUUACUUUACAGUAAAUAACAGUGUGAGAGAAUUCAAGGUUUAAGUUUUUAGUUCAACAUAACAUACAAGAGAAGACUUUUGAUUUAAUGCUUCCAGAGAAAAUAUAUUCUCUUCAUGCAGAUGACUACAUUUAGUAGGUCUGAGAUCAGCAACUCUUUAAAACACCAAACUGAGUAACUGACACCAGUUACAUGACUGAUAAUCCCUUUGGCUUUAUGUCUUCAACUUUAUCAGUCAGACCACGGGACUGCAGCUUUCAGAGACGGUACAUAAUAAGGUACUUUAGCCAUUGUACUGUCAGUUAACUGGAGUUACUACAAAAUAUGUUUUGUAGAUGUUUACAGCUCCUGUAAUAACAAAGAAUAGAAUCAUCACAAGCUGUGAAGUAUAAAGUUUAUCCCUAAAAUCUGCAAUAAAGCUGAUCCCUUCCUGUCCUGACACACUUCAGGAUCUUAAGUUCAGCUGGCAGAUGUAGCUGUUUGUUUAAAAAAAACAGUAAAGGUAGUUAGUUAGUGAUUGGGCAGCCUGGUGACUCUUCUCUGUUUCUCAUACAAACCAUUUCAGUGUCUCAUCUUCAGCUAUAUUGUGUGCAUUUUAGGACAUCCUAAAAUGAAAGCCAUCUCAGGUGUCUGUCUGCCAAACCAAAAAGGGUACAUGUUACAUGGACUGGGUUGAACAUUCAAAUAUAAUGCACUUCCUGAACCUCAAAUGGGCCAAAGUGUUGCAAACCAGGUUUGCCAUGGCUUCAUCUUGAGCUGACUAAUUCAUGUCUUCAUGUAUCAAUGUCAUGGAUGUGGAUUAUUUCAGUGCAGCCCGCAUGUGCCUAAAAUUUAACAUACUAGAAGGCAGACAAGCUAUGAAGGUGUUUGACCAGUCGGACACAGAAGUAGAUGCAGUGGUAUUGGAAGAAAUAGUGAAGGGGUCACCGGGAACCUUCCGAGUCAUGCUGAGCAAUGAAGAACUUGCAUCAUUCUAAACUUCACAAUGUGUGACCCUCCUGAAGAAGCAGCUGCCACUGAAGGAAGACAACCUAAAAGGCUAUCCCAUAUAAACUAUGAGGCAAAAGAUGACUGAAAAAAUCUUAACAACAAAGCCCGGUGGUGAACACAUCAUACAAGAGUAUGCAAAAACCAAAUCUCUGACAGACGCAACUAGAAGACAGAUGGUAAACAUACUUGCAGCCGAGAUUACAGAAGCACAUGGGUAAGAAUCAUAAAUGUAGGCUAUAGAGAAACAUUUUUAGUAUUGUAUUAUUUUUAAUUGUGAUGUUCAAUGCCAAUUGAGGGACGAUCAUGGCUGAAUUUAUACAUUAGGGGCAGGGGAUUGUUGCUCUGUUUCCAUAUCUACAAGACCCAUAUUCACAACAUGGAUAUGUAAGUAAAGGGGACUUUGCAACAUUAAACACAUAAUUGCUAUCAGAAAUUUUGAUAACAUUGUCAUUCUGCAUGUAUUUAAUUACAUAGGAACAUUACUACGAUCCAGAAAGCGGUUCAGGAUACCUUGCAUGGUGGUUGAAGACCAUUCAAAGAAAAGCUGCAGAGGAAAGAACUCUCUCUCCCAAAAGUUCACAUAUCAUUUAAACCAGCGGUCCCCAACCUUUUUUGCGCCACGGACCGGUUUAUGCCCGACAAUAUUUUCACGGACCGGCCUUUAAGGUGUCGCGGAUAAAUACAACACAAUAAAACUAGU